rnacentral:lncRNA from 1 species
CCCAGGGAUGCGCCUCCUGCUGUUGGAUGCCAUGAGAGCUUGGCGAUCUCCUGUCUCCUGGUGCAGGGGCUUGGGUGGAGCCGAUCCAUGCUGAGAGCUCUGCCGUGCUCAGUACAUACGCACUGACACACUCAGCACAUACGCACUGACACACUCAGCUUGGGUCCACAUCGGAGCGCGGUUCUCCUGGUGUAAAGCCCCUAGAAUCCAUCCCGACACAACUGCCUCGGGGAACCACCAUCAGAAGCCAUCCAGAGAAACGCACCAGGCCACAAAGCACUGGGGGCCAGGGAUCUUGCCCCUGCUGUCUGCCAUGGGUUGACCCCCAGCCUCCAACCCUACCAUCCCCUGACGGUGUCUGCAGCAGUUGAACCCAACCAGCAUCUAAAAGAACACAGUUGGUGAACGAGACUGGGACACAGGGCAAGAUGGGUGGACAAUGGGAGGCUCCUGGAGAGCACCCGUACCAGCGAGCAUAGAAUUCAUGGGGGUGACCUGUUCCCUGAAGCAUCUGCGCGUGUUGUUCCAGCAUUUUCUUCAAGGAUUGAGCCAGCAGCACCAGUGUCAUACGGUGCUUAAAUCAAUGAUUCACAACCAACCAAUGAAAUACAAGGUGCCGGCUGGGCGCGGUGGCUCACGCCUGUAAUCCCAGCACUUUGGGAGGCCGAGGCGGGCGGAUCACAAGGUCAGGAGAUCGAGACCAUCCCGG